rnacentral:rRNA from 1 species
GGAGGUUACUGCUAUCGGUGUUCGCCUAACCCAUGCGAGUCAUAUGUUCUUCGUGAACAUGGCGUACUGCUCAGUAACACGUGAAUAACCUGCCCUUGGGACCGGCAUAACCCCGGGAAACUGGGGAUAAUUCCGGAUACUGCAUAUAUGCUGGAAUGCUUUAUGCAUAAAAUGGAUUCGUCUGCCCAAGGAUGGGUCUGCGGCCUAUCAGGUAGUAGUGGGUGUAAUGUACCUACUACCCAACGACGGGUACGGGUUGUGAAAGCAAGAGCCCGGAAAUGGAUUCUGAAACAUGAAUCCAGGCCCUACGGGGCGCAGCAGGCGCAAAAACUUUACAAUGCGGAAAACCGUGAUAAGGGGACACCGAGUGCCAGCAUCAUAUGCUGGCUGUCCGGGUGUGUAAACUACACCUGUUAGCAAGGGCCGGGCAAAACCGGUGC